rnacentral:rRNA from 1 species
UACGUAGGGUCCGAGCGUUGUCCGGAAUUACUGGGCGUAAAGAGCUCGUAGGUGGUUUGUCGCGUUGUUCGUGAAAACUCACAGCUCAACUGUGGGCGUGCGGGCGAUACGGGCAGACUAGAGUACUGCAGGGGAGACUGGAAUUCCUGGUGUAGCGGUGGAAUGCGCAGAUAUCAGGAAGAACACCCGUGGCGAAGGCGGCUCUCUGGGACGGUACUGACGCUGAGACGCGAAAGCGUGGGGAGCGAACAGG